UGGCAUACCUCUUCAGUCUUGUGUCAAUGCUUGUAUUGCAUUGAAUGCACGGUGGGUUUCUUGUGUUGCAUGCCUAAUUAAUGGUAUCGCUUGAUGAAUUGGUAUUCCUUUUGUCUUGUGUCGCCUAUGCGAUGUGAGAUGAACCUUGAAGCAACCUUUGUGAUCCACUCUUUUGAUGCAUACGCCUUGAUUUUGUGGCCCAUUGAGUGUUGCUUGGUCUCAUGGAUAUGGAACCUGGAGUGGGCAUGGAAUCUUACUGGUUCCUUGUUUGCCCAAGUUUAGCUUUUCUAAAACGAUUGUCUAUCAUGUGUUAACGUGGUAGACAGCUUCGAAUAUGAAUGCUACCUGGUUGAUCCUGCCAGUAGUCAUAUGCUUGUCUCAAAGAUUAAGCCAU
rnacentral:misc_RNA from 1 species